GGGGCCUCUGUGGCCAAGGAGCAGCGGGCAAGGGGCUAAGGGGAGGGGGGCCCCGUGCCAGCCAUUUAAAAAUGCCCCGUGGCAAUGAGGGGUGGCAGAGGCCCGGUCAAGUUAGUUGAGAAGCAAUGACACCCCCAACAAUCCCCUAAAUGGGCUGAGCCCCGUCUCCAGGCUGCAAGGAACCACACCUGGACCAGACCCUGGGAGAGCCUCCCGGAGCUUCCCAGGAAGACAGAGCUUCCCCCCGGCUGGGCUCAGCAAUAUUUCCUGAGGACAGUGGGGAGCAGGGAGGGGAAAUUGGCCCAUUCUCUGGGAGCCACCCCCCAGACUGCCACCAGCCAGCACCAGGUAAGAAUCUGCCCUAUAAGAGUCCAAGGCCACUGUUCAACCGUCUCCUUUGACAGAAGGGAAAUGGAGCCACAAAGAGGGGAAGUGCCUGGGAGAAGUGAUCACACCAGUUGGUGAUAGAACUCGGGUCUCCCAAGUGGCCCCCUGUCUACCGACUGGGGAACAAGAGUAAGAAGGAGCCUCUCAUGGAGCAAGUAGAAUAGGAAGGCUACCAAACCCCUUCUCCUUUGAAGGAGACCAGGCGUCAGGGCCAGCACUGUCUGCCUGCUGGGCAAGUAAGAAAGACUCAAGGGAAGAGUUCCCAGGGCUAAGAGAGCCAAGAGGACACCCUUCCGGCAUCUCUGCCCCUCCUCCCAGCCCACCAGCACCUCCUCCAGGAAGCCCUCCCAGCUUCCCCCUGGGACAGGAACCUCUUUGUCCUCUAAGACCUUGGCAGUCCUUUCUCAGGCUCUCUCUUGUGCCACUUGGGUCUGCCCACUAUUCACCUUGCCAGGGACAUUUUCCUUCCAUCUCAGUCUGAUUGCGCCCCUCCAGGGCAAGGACGCAGUCAGGUUCAGUCCCACCUCCCCUUAGCAGGUAGAAGACGCCCUAGGUUUGCUGAAUGUUCAGGUAAAAUGGUUAGACCCUGUCCCAAACCCAAAGGAUUGGUGAAGUGACUGGGGAAGGAGACAUUCAGCAUAGAGUUUAAAAUGAGGGCGCCGGGGCUGGCUGUUCUGAGUUAGGAACCCAGCUCAGCUCCUAACUCCAUGGCCUUGGAAAAUUCCCUUCCCACAGGGCCUUGGGGACACAAGGGCGUUAGCACGAUUAAAACAGUCAAUAAACAACUGUUCUUAUGACAGUCA